rnacentral:lncRNA from 1 species
GGAUUUUCCCUGGGCAGCAAACACCUUUGUGUGACCGCAGACCACAGACCUCUCCCAGGGCUCUAAGACGCUGAAGACAGGGACAGGGACUCAGGGGCAGAGUUCUACCUGGCUGGCUCUCCCCACAGCUUCUCGACAUGGUUCUCAAGGAGAGACUCAGGACCUGGAAGAGACUCUUCUGGCGGCUGAUCCUAUUUGCACUUGGCCUCUUAGGGCUGUACCUGUAUGGGCUCCCUGUAGUCAGGCAUCUGGAAGCCCUCAUCCCCAUAGGUGUCUGCCCUUCCGCCAGAAUGGCCCUGCUGAGGGACAACUUCACGGGUCUCUUGCAUCCCUGGGCCCGGCCUGAAGUCCCAACCUGUACUUCCUGGGGGGCCCCCAUUCUUUGGGAUGGCACCUAUGACCCAGCUGUGGCCCAGCAAGAGGCUCUACAGCAGAACCUCACCAUUGGUCUGACUGUCUUUGCUGUAGGCAGGUACCUGGAGAAGUUCCUGGCGCGCUUCCUGGAGACGGCGGAGCGGCACUUCAUGGUGGGCCAGCACGUGGUGUACUACGUGUUCACCGAGCGCCCGGACGCCGUGCCGCGCGUGGCGCUGCGCGUGGCCCGCGAGCGGCGCUGGCAGGACGUGUCCAUGCAGCGCAUGCACACGCUGCACGAGGCGCUGGGCGGGCGGCUGGGCCGCGAGGCGAGCUUCGUGUUCUGCAUGGACGUGGACCAGUAUUUCCACGGCGCCUUCGGGCCCGAGGCGCUGGCAGAGUCGGUGGCGCAGCUGCAUUCCUGGCACUACCAUUGGCCGCGGUGGCUGCUGCCCUACGAGCGGGACGCGCGCUCAGCCGCCGCUCUGGCGCCGGGCGAGGGCGACUUCUACUACCACGCGGCCGUGUUCGGGGGCAGCGUGGCGGCGCUGCGCAGGCUGACGGAGCACUGCGCGCGGGGCAUGCGGUGGGACCGCGAGCGCGGCCUGGAGGCGCGCUGGCACGACGAGAGCCACCUCAACAAGUUCUUCUGGCUGCACAAACCCGCCAAGGUGCUGUCGCCCGAGUUCUGCUGGAGCCCCGACAUCGGCGCGAGGGCCGAGAUCCGCCGGCCGCGCCUGCUCUGGGCGCCCAAGGAGUAUGCCCUGCUGCGCGACUAG